CAUAGGUUAAUGAGGCGAACCGGGGGAACUGAAACAUCUAAGUACCCCGAGGAAAAGAAAUCAACCGAGAUUCCCCCAGUAGCGGCGAGCGAACGGGGAGCAGCCCAGAGCCUGAAUCAGUAUGUGUGUUAGUGGAAGCGUCUGGAAAGGCGCGCGAUACAGGGUGACAGCCCCGUACACAAAAAUGCACAUGCUGUGAGCUCGAUGAGUAGGGCGGGACACGUGGUAUCCUGUCUGAAUAUGGGGGGACCAUCCUCCAAGGCUAAAUACUCCUGACUGACCGAUAGUGAACCAGUACCGUGAGGGAAAGGCGAAAAGAACCCCGGCGAGGGGAGUGAAAAAGAACCUGAAACCGUGUACGUACAAGCAGUGGGAGCACGCUUAGGCGUGUGACUGCGUACCUUUUGUAUAAUGGGUCAGCGACUUAUAUUCUGUAGCAAGGUUAACCGAAUAGGGGAGCCGAAGGGAAACCGAGUCUUAACUGGGCGUUAAGUUGCAGGGUAUAGACCCGAAACCCGGUGAUCUAGCCAUGGGCAGGUUGAAGGUUGGGUAACACUAACUGGAGGACCGAACCGACUAAUGUUGAAAAAUUAGCGGAUGACUUGUGGCUGGGGGUGAAAGGCCAAUCAAACCGGGAGAUAGCUGGUUCUCCCCGAAAGCUAUUUAGGUAGCGCCUCGUGAAUUCAUCUCCGGGGGUAGAGCACUGUUUCGGCAAGGGGGUCAUCCCGACUUACCAACCCGAUGCAAACUGCGAAUACCGGAGAAUGUUAUCACGGGAGACACACGGCGGGUGCUAACGUCCGUCGUGAAGAGGGAAACAACCCAGACCGCCAGCUAAGGUCCCAAAGUCAUGGUUAAGUGGGAAACGAUGUGGGAAGGCCCAGACAGCCAGGAUGUUGGCUUAGAAGCAGCCAUCAUUUAAAGAAAGCGUAAUAGCUCACUGGUCGAGUCGGCCUGCGCGGAAGAUGUAACGGGGCUAAACCAUGCACCGAAGCUGCGGCA
rnacentral:rRNA from 1 species